CUCAACCUCUCACCUCUCUUGACCCGGCACCAGUAAAGUGAGCAGAACAUGGCUGGAAAGGGUUCCUCUGAUGGUGUUGGAGUACAGAGGGGGAGAAAUUCAAAUCUGUUCAUGUUUAAAGCAUCCUCCAACUCUCUGGAGCAGAAUUUGGGUGAGCGUGUGGGAACUGCAGAAGGGGAUCUCUGUAAUUGAUCGCUGUUCUGCUCCAUUGUAUCAAAAAGCCUUGCAUCAGCAAAGAGGCACCACAUGAUUACCAAACAUUGUUUCUAGCAUUUGUUCUUGGGAACUCUUAAAUCUCCACCUCUCUUUCUCUGCCUGCUGAGAAUGCUUGCCUCCAAUGAAAGUCAAGUUCUGCCUUGCUUUCCCAGAGUCACACAGGAAAUUUGUGGAGCAAACAAAAAUAGAAACUGGAUCUCCCAAACGUCCGCUCAAGUUUUCUACCACAAGUCCUUUUCAGUUACGCAUUUGCAAAACCUCAAUAAUUUCAGGUUGGCUAAGUUCGCUUAAAUUAUAGCCUAAAAUUUACAGUGAAUCAUUUUGGAUAUUCAAACUUAUUAUUAUAAAGAUCGCCAAGCCAUUUUUUAAACCACCUUUUGAAAUACUUCUAGUUUUGCUGCUUCUAUUAUGGCCCAGAUACUUCCAUGGGAAACAGAUACAUAUUAGGUUGAUUUCAAAUGCCCUGCCUGGAAUCAUUGAUUUACUUUAAACUUAUUAUAUGUGCCUUUACACACACAGGCCAUAAUAACAGGAGGUGUUUCAAAUGAGAAGUAAUUCCAAAGUUGCUGCCGCUGUUUUAAUCAGAACUGGAUAUUAUGUUCAGCAUUUAAUACAGGCACAGUGAAAAUGUGCUGAAGAGUUGGUGCCUUUUUAUCAUAUGUGGUGGUCAUGUAGUAAGGUUAAAGCUUACUGGGAAAUGAUAUGUAAUGAAUUGAAAAGGAUGUUCAAAAUAAAUGUUAUUAAAAAAAACCCAGAGGCUUUUCUUUUGGGAAUUAUAGGGAUAGAACUACCUAAACUGUAUAGAAACUUAUUAAUGUAGCAAGCAGCAGCAAGAAUGUUGCUUGCCCAAAAGUGGAAAGAAGCAGAAGUCCCAGCAAAGGAAGUACGAAUACAAAAACUUAUGGAA